GAUUGACUCCCAGUCGUCGUGACGUCAGACCACCCACUCAGGGCAGAGAAGCCCACGCUGGACUCUACCUGGAGGAGCCGCUGCAGGACACCCGAGCCUCUCAGGACCAGGCUGUCAGCAUCGGAGAGGGCCGUGAAGCUGUGGGCUCGGCCUGGCAUCAGGACGACGGCGCUGAGAUGACGGGACGCCUCAUCACUUCGUUCCAGCCUCUACGGAUCCACAGCAGCCCGUCCCGUCCACCACGGCCGCCCACGCUGCAGGAGUGUGAGGUCAUCAUCCGGCAGCUUUACAACGCCAACAGCUUACAGUCUCAGGAAAUCAUACGUGUGAAGGCGCUGCUGAAAGACAUCGUUCUGAGCAAGAAACUCACCCCAGAGAACUACAUCCUGACCAAGGCCUACCUCGUCGAUGGAACCUGCAAAUCGUUUGAAGACAAGAAAUUUCCAAAACUUGGUCUUCCGCUACUUCCAGAAAAAACGUCUGCUCCCUCCCAGUGUGGAGUCGUCCUCCCAGCCCUGAAGCAGAGCCUCGGCUCCACCAUCGCAGAGAGACAGAGGAGGAUUCGUGCUGUGCAGAGAGACCGGUUUAAAAGGACAGUGCAUUGACGGGAUCAGAACCGCCACAGUGAGGAGCUUUUAAUGGUCUGGAAAACCUCAGGUCGCAAAACAAAUAAACCCCCACUAAUAGAUAACAGUUUAAAACUAUUUCUGAUCCACGUUUUCAUGUUUCAUGUUUUAAAGAAGACGCUAAUUGCCAUUUUGACUCGUCACAGCAGGAAAAGCACAGAUUGCAUGAAUAACAUCAAUGAUGGCUCAGUUCUAAUAAGUGUCCUACGAAGCUUUGACAGAAAACCAGCAGGCACAGUUAGCAGCAGGGCGUCCUGUAAAUGGAGCCAUCACCAAAACAUUGUUGGUUAUCCUGCUAUGACAUCACUAUGUCUGCUUUUAAACAGGUCUGUAGGUCUUGAAGCACAGAAUCAAACAAAUGAAGGUUUAUAGACUUAAAACAGGGCUGUCAAACUCAGUUUAAUUCAGGUUCCACAUUCAGCCCAAUAGUAAAAUCACAGCAUAAUAACCUAUAAAUAACCACAACUCCACAUUUUCCCUUUGUGUUAGUGCAAAAAUGUACCUUCUGUACACAUUACAACUUAUAGAUCAGAGUUUCUACAAAGGCACAAAUAUUUAGUCACAGCUAUCUGGAACUGAAUAAUCUAGUAUUUUACUGUAUGAUCAAAACAACAAAAGUCAGACAAGAAAAGACAAAAAACAAUUAAAACAGGACAAAACAUUACAAAAAUUAGACACAAAACGACAAAAAAAUAGACAAACAACACAAGUGAGUCAAAAAAACCCACAAAACGACAAACGAUACACAAAACAACGAAUGAAGCAAAACUCAAAAUGACACAAAUAAGACAGAAAACAGAAGCGAGACAAAAAGGAAACACAAAAAUGAGAAACAAAACAAAAACAUGAGACAAACGACAAAAGUCAGACAAUAUAUUACAAAAACGAGACACAAAACCACAAAAGUGAGACACAAAAUAACAAAAAAUGAGACAAACAACAUGAAACAAAACAAAAAAAAGAUGAAAAGUUACAAAGCAACAAAAAAAUGGACAAACAACACAAGCAAAAUGAAAAAAGACACAAAAUGACAAAAAAGACAAAAAACAAGAAAAGCAAGACAAAAUAUUACAAAAAUGAGACACAAAAUGACAAAAGAACAAUGAACAAUCUAAUAUUUUACUUUAUGAUCCAAACAACUUGUCGUGGUCUAGAAAUCAUUCUAAAUUUAUAGUUUUACUAAUUUACAAUCUGCAGUUAAUGUCUUCUCUGGAAUUUUUACACUUUGAGGGCCGGAUUAGACCCUCUGGAGGACCGCUGUUGGCCCGCGGGCCGCAUGUUGGACACCCCUGACCUAAAAGCUUUAAAAUCUCCUCAUAUAAAGAAGGUGAGAAUCCUAGCUUUGCACUGUCGUAGUAUAUUCAUUUAUUUAUAUUUUUAUCAAGCAUUGCUUUGUAGGACAUCUCAAUGUUUAAAUGGUAAUAUCUACUGUUCACUGCACGAUUAGAAUUCUGCCAAUUAUAUAGAAAUAAUUACAUGUCACUUUUAAAACUACAAAAUCUUCUUCAGUGCUAAAACCCAAAACAAAUCUUACACAGGAGAGACUUUUUUUGUAGCAGACAACACUGUAUGGAGCAGGUGUUAUCAGUUAUCAGCGCAAAUGAAAGAUUAACAC
ensembl:lncRNA